rnacentral:tRNA from 1 species
GCCUCUGUAGCUCAGUGGAAGAGCAGGCGCGUCCUAAGCGAAUGGUCGGGGGUUCGAAUCCCUCCAGGGGCACCG